rnacentral:rRNA from 1 species
UACGGAGGGUGCAAGCGUUAUCCGGAAUCACUGGGUUUAAAGGGUGCGUAGGCGGUCCGUUAAGUCAGUUGUGAAAUUCCCUCGCUCAACGAGUGGGACUGCGAUUGAUACUGACAGACUUGAAUCAGGUUGAGGUAGGCGGAAUGAGACAUGUAGCGGUGAAAUGCUUAGAUAUGUCUUAGAACACCGAUUGCGAAGGCAGCUUGCUGGACCUGUAUUGACGCUGAGGCACGAAAGCGUGGGGAGCAAACAGG